GGCAGUGACCUCGAGGGACAGGACUGCCCCAGGAAUGAAAACCUCCCUCCUGUGUCAUCCUCCAAAGCCCAUGAACACCCAACUGUCCAUAAAGGUGGCAAGAGCUUAAAACUCUCAGAGCAAGGACAGAGGUGACCAGCACUUGAAAAUCCCUGCCUGUGAUCAGCCUCAUCAUACAGCACAGCUACAAGAAUCUUGGAGAAAUGUUAUCUUGGCCUCUGAGUGCACACACAGCACGUUUGCCUGAACCUCUGUGCCACGCUGUUCCCAGCAAGUUUUGUGAAACACAUCAGAUCAUCAGCAGUUUUGCUUCUCUAAGUCGUGGAAAACGUAAAACCUGCCCAUGUCCAGGUCACUCACCUAAUUCCAAAGAAGGGAUUAUGGCCACCACCACCAGCCCAUGGUGCCAGGUUGAAUAACUUCCUACAGGGGCCACAAGAUGAGAGAGAUGUGAGGUUUCCCACGGAAGCCGCGGCGGCAGCUCCGGAGCCUUCCCCGGUGGUGCCGUUCCAGGUGGAUGAUCUUUCACUUCUUGUCUCAGGAACUGGACUGGGCUUGACAACCUCCCAUUCCCCAGGACCUACAGGAGCUGCAGUUAAUUAACCUCCUCUUUUUUCAAAGGCAGAGCAGAUCAGUGGAGUGGCUGAAGAGGAGCACUCAGAGGGAAGUGGGAGCAGAGGCAGUCACGAGGAGCAGGCACUUGGAGAAAGGCUUCUGAGAUAGCUCCCAGGAAAAAUUAUCACUUAUCAGCAGCUGCUGGAUGACACAGCACUGCUGCCAAAGCAGCAGCCUGCAGCACCUGCUCUCUGCACACUGCUGGUUUUGGCAGGGGGCUGGGACGUGUCACGGCUGCCCCUGCAGCUCCAACAGCAGCAGCUCCUGCGGCGAUUCCUCGUGCAGGGAAGGCACGAUCCAAUCCCAGCCUCACACAAAAGCCAGGUUGGAACAGGCUGUCAGAGUGUAUUUUGGAGGAGCUGGAAUCUUUGGGUGCUACUAAAAGCUGUGGCAAAUGGAUCUCUGACCCUUCUUUAGGACAGAAUAGCUCACACUGAAAAAGCCAUAUCUGGAUGAUUCAAAUGCAGCUGCAGAAAUUCAGGAGGUGAAGAGUUACUGAAAAUAGGUACUGGGUUUGAUCCAAUCCGUAUUUUUAAUCUCAACCAAGUCAAGUCCAAGGCUGAGUAAAGUCAGAAAACUGAACCCUUUGAGGCAACUCUGCCAAGAUCCUGAAGGAAUUGGAAGGAAGGAUGAGGUGGUGGGUUUGCCUGGCUUUGCAGAAGCCCCAGGAAGAGAUAAACCCGACUCAGAGCUUAAAUAACCCCACCCUUAGACCUGUGUGGCUCGUUGCUGGGCUGACACAGCUGGAGUGGAGCACCGUGGAUUGUUUGGUGUGGCAUCUGCUGCAGGAUGGCUGGGAGAUGGGAUUCUGGAGGGAGAGAGUCAGCAGCACAAUUAAAUUCCAGCAGGGUGUUUAUAUGUAGGGAUGACCAAUCCAGCAGGAACAACUUCUACCUCUCCUUGAGCUCGGAGUUCAUAACGCUCUUUGAACAUCAUCAGCCCUUAAGUGCUGAAACAAGGUGAACAUUCAGCUCCAGAAACUUCAAAUCCAGAGACGAAGAAUACAGUGAGCGCUCGUAUGGGCAAGAGGACAAAUCCAGCUCUGAAACUUCUUCUGGGAAAAAAACCACACUGAAAUAGUAAAGAAACCAGUAAAAUAUUUAAAAUAAGUUAACUUCUUGAAGGGAGGGGUUGUAGGUUUAUUUUCUCUCUUUUUUUUCUGGUCCAUUUACUACCUGUUGGUGGCUUCUUGUUGGAAGGGGGAGCUGGGAAGUGCUUGGCAGUGGCAACAGUCUGAGUGAUUUCUGGCAUUUCAGAGUUUAAAGGCAAACAAACUGACAUUUUUUUUUAAGCAAGAUGGCACCAAAAUCCAUUGGCAUAAUGUCACUGCUGACAGAUUUUGGAGUCACCAACUCUCUUCUUGCUCAGAAGGUGUCCAGGGAAGAACUGAGACUUCCAAUGUCCUUGGCAGAAGGGAGUUUUCCUUGGUAGUCCUCAGAGUGGAAUAGGAGUUUGUUAUCAUGCCCCAAUAUGGAAAAUAAUCUGUAGUCUAAACCACUGGUUUUUUUAAAGCACAUAUAUCAAUAUGAGGAAAUAAGUGGGAUUCAGAGUAUUGUUGGACACGAUGAAAGUUGCCCAAUUUUCCCUUCCAGGGUCCUUUUCCCUCGUGACAUCCCCUCGACCAGUCAGCAGAGGGAUUUCAAUGUGUCUCUUAUUUUUUCAGGAAGGUCUCUAAGCUGAAAAUGAGAUGGUUGGGUUGAAUUUUCUCCAACCUUCCCUGGUACUGCUGUUUCACUUCAGUGCAUGUUACACCUGGGACAGAGAGAUUCCUUCUGGGACAGCUGCUCCAGGACCUUAAUUCACAUCCCAACCUCAUGUUGUGCCAAGUGGAAAACCACCAACUCCAGGAUUAAUUCAUGAAAUACCACCUUUUUACCUCCUGUUAACAAGAUAUUGCCACGACCCAGUGCCUGUGGAAUUAACAGCAUUUCUCCUUCAGUGAGGACCUGUUGGAAACCACUUCCUUUUCCGAGCAGUUUUUGCUGGAUUUAGGGUGAGAAAUGAGUGUCGCUUUCCUUUUGCACAUUAGGGCUGCUGAGCUGAAGAAAAUGGGUAUAACUUUUCUCUUAAUUCCAUAAUCUUAUUAUCCUAGCUCCAAUAAAAACUGAUAAUGAAAUCUGA